rnacentral:rRNA from 1 species
GAUGAACGCUAGCGGCAGGCUUAACACAUGCAAGUCGAGGGGUAUUGGUUUUCGGACCAAGAGACCGGCGCACGGGUGCGUAACGCGUAUGCAAUCUACCUUUUGCAGAGGGAUAGCCCCAGAGAAAUUUGGAUUAAUACCUCAUAGUAUAGUACUUUGGCAUCAAGGAACUAUUAAAGUCACAACGGCAAAGAUGAGCAUGCGUCCCAUUAGCUAGUUGGUAAGGUAACGGCUUACCAAGGCUACGAUGGGUAGGGGUCCUGAGAGGGAGAUCCCCCACACUGGUACUGAGACACGGACCAGACUCCUACGGGAGGCAGCAGUGAGGAAUAUUGGACAAUGGGCGCAAGCCUGAUCCAGCCAUGCCGCGUGCAGGAUGACGGUCCUAUGGAUUGUAAACUGCUUUUAUACAGGAAGAAAUACUCCGACGUGUCGGAGCUUGACGGUACUGUAAGAAUAAGGAUCGGCUAACUCCGUGCCAGCAGCCG